AAUUAUGGGGUGCUGGCGUUACUCCCUGAAGUCCAAGGGGCGAAUAACGUUCGACAAUAACGCCCAAUAACACUAAUAAAUGUCAGCUUCUAGCUACUGGCUAAGGGAUUCGCGACACGCCUGUCGCCGACGGCAAAUAAAAUCACUGACCCAAACCAGAUGGCUUUUAUUGGAGGGAGAAGAAUAUUAGACAGGAUUGCGGUCUUACACGAGGUCUUACACGAAAUCAACACCACUAAGGAAGAGGUGUUCAUUCUUAAAAUAGACUUCAAAAAGGCGUACGACCAAGUGCGGUGGGAAUUUCUGGAGGAGGUUCUUAAGGCGAAAGGCUUUGACCAACUCUGGAUUAACUGGAUGCGGCAGCUGGUACAAGGGGGACAGACGACAGUUAAUAUUAAUGGCGGGGUAGGGGCUUCUUCAGAAAUAACAGAGGAAUCCGACAAGGGGAUCCUAUAUCCCCGCUUUUGUUUAACAUCUUGGCAGAUGCACUUGCAUCAAUUCUUGAUAAUGCCAAGGUGGCGGGGCAUAUAUCUAGGGUGGCUUCGGGCAUUAUCCUCGGAGGAAUAUCGCAUCUUCAAUACGUAG
rnacentral:rRNA from 1 species